rnacentral:rRNA from 1 species
CGGCGGACGGGUGAGUAACACGUGGAUAACCUACCUAUAAGACUGGGAUAACUUCGGGAAACCGGAGCUAAUACCGGAUAAUAUUUUGAACCGCAUGGUUCAACAGUGAAAGACGGUCUUGCUGUCACUUAUAGAUGGAUCCGCGCCGCAUUAGCUAGUUGGUAAGGUAACGGCUUACCAAGGCAACGAUGCGUAGCCGACCUGAGAGGGUGAUCGGCCACACUGGAACUGAGACACGGUCCAG